UACGUAGGGUGCGAGCGUUGUCCGGAAUUAUUGGGCGUAAAGAGCUCGUAGGCGGUCUGUCGCGUCUGCUGUGAAAUCCCGAGGCUCAACCUCGGGCUUGCAGUGGGUACGGGCAGGCUAGAGUGCGGUAGGGGGAGAAUGGAACUCCUGGUGUAGCGGUGAAAUGCGCAGAUAUCAGGAGGAACACCAACAGCGAAGGCAGAUCUCUGGGACGUUACUGACGCUGAGACGCGAAAGCGUGGGGAGCAAACAGG
rnacentral:rRNA from 1 species